CAGGCCCCGCCCCUCCCUGGCGGAGGCGGGCGCCCCGCUCCAGCUCUGUUGGGCCGCGCCGCCUGUGGAAACAUAUGACCUUGUGAACACAAGGUCAAGGUCCCUCCUAGGACCUAUGCAAGUGUGAGGCCUUGCCGGACACAUAAUCCUCAAGGAGGAAACAGAAGCUCAGAGAGGGCAAAUCCCUUGCCUCGGUCACACAGCCAGUCAGCUUCAGCGCUGAGAUUGAAUCCAGAUUUGGGGCUUCCCAGGCCAUGUAGGAGACUGAACUUGACGGCUCUGGUUUACUCCCAUCACCCUCCUGCCCUCCCCACCCCCAACCUCUCUUAUAUGACACUUGACAUUAUCCAUCACUCCUUCCCCCUGGGAACGCCCUCCUCCUCCAGUUUCCAUGGCAGCACAUUCUCCCCAUCCUCCUCCUGCUUCAGCGGCAGCUUCUCAUUCUCCAGGGUGGCUCCUGAGCCCAGAAAGCAGGGGGGAUCCCCAGGCUGGGUCCCCAGUGUCUUCUUUCUCUUCCUCACUCCCCCUGAACGCUCAUCUGCUUUUCCCUCCGCAUCUUGAGCUCUGAUCUUGCACUGCAGCUCCAAUUCUAAGUCAUGACAGCUACUUACCAUGUGCUGAGAGCUUCCUUCUGUCCUGGGCCCUGCACAUCCCCAACUCAUUAAAUCCUCACAACCACCCCAUGAAGAAAGUCUAUUCUACAGAUGAGGAAACUGAGGCACAGAGAGGGAAAGCCGAGCCUGACUCCAGCCUCAUCACUACUCCUAUUACAACAAGAAGAGAUAUGAAACUACAGGACAUUUUGAAACCGGAGGCAAAAACUUCCCUCCCACCACCUGAAGAGAGAAUGGAAAUUUGGGGGGAAACCAGACCCGCUCUACAGUGUUGGGAGCCCUGUGAUGAUCUAGAAUUACGCUGUCAAUUUGGAGCUUUAAAAUACAUCGUGCACAGCAUAUUUUGAAAUGUGAAGAUUGGGAGAGCUUCAGGAGGAAUGAAGGUUCAUGGAAAAUUGCCCUUUUCCUUCAGAUUUUUCCAUUUGGUUUUAAGUCUUCAAAACUCUCAUCCCAGGAUUCCAGCUACUAAUGCUCUUCUUCUUUAGUGAUGCCUGGAAUUCACUGGAAACUUGGACCCUGGAGUUCCGCUGACCUGAAUUCUGUUCCCACUAACAGGCGGUAUGACUUAGGAGUGAGUGGUCAAGCCUUACUUGUCGAAAGUAAGGGUAAUACUACUUCCCCUGCUGAGUUGUCAUGCAGAUCUGGGGGAUAAUGUGCAUACAGCACUUGGCACGGAGCCUGGCACACAGAAGCGCUCAGUGGGGCCCCAUGCUCCAGCUGCACACAACUUCUCAGGUUUGCUAAGCACAUUUCCAUGGUUUUGCACAAGCUGUUCCCUCUUCUUGGUGGCCAACUCCUACUCAUCCUUUAAGGCCCUCUGACUUUUUCCACCUCUUCUACACUUACUACAAAUAUGUGUUCCAGUAAAACACUAGAAAAGGCACUUCCCUGUGACACCCUCCCUAGGGCUCCCUGUCAUUGCAUGUCACUGCACCGAGAUGCAGUGAUCUGUUUAUGCUUUGGUCCCAACAGGGGCUUGAACUUCCUGAGGGCAAGGACAUAUCUGAUUAAUUUCUGAGUCCCAGUGGCCAGCAUGCACAGCCUGGCAUGAAGUAGAUUUCAACACAAGUUUGCUUUACCUUAAAUGCACGUGGUCUGGAUCCAGCCCCUGCUGCCCCAGGACAAAUUUAUGUCUAAGAAAUGGUCAAAAGAAGCCAAAUCUAUUACAGCCACUGGAAGUGGCAGUGAGUGGACCCAGAGCAGCCUUGAGACAGGCCUGUCCUGGGAGAAGUUGAAGGGGACAUAGUCCUUGCAAGCGAAUAAACAGCCUUGGUUUCAA